rnacentral:rRNA from 1 species
CACCGCCGCGGUAAUACGAAGGGUGCAAGCGUUACUCGGAAUUACUGGGCGUAAAGCGUGCGUAGGUGGUGGUUUAAGUCUGCUGUGAAAGCCCUGGGCUCAACCUGGGAAUUGCAGUGGAUACUGGGUCACUAGAGUGCGGUAGAGGGUAGUGGAAUUUCCGGUGUAGCAGUGAAAUGCGUAGAGAUCGGAAGGAACAUCUGUGGCGAAGGCGACUACCUGGGCCAGCACUGACACUGGGGCACGAAAGCGUGGGGAGCAAACAGGAUUAGAUACCCCUGUAGUCCCUGUCUCUUAUACA